ACCCCGGCGAGGGGAGUGAAAAAGAACCUGAAACCGUGUACGUACAAGCAGUGGGAGCCCCACCACCAAAGCAUUUGCUGUACCGCGUUGACGGAGCGAAGCGACGUCAAACCGAUAAAACAGCAGUGUAAAGUGAGCCGCAGGGCGCUUUGCGCGACAGCGCAAAGGCAGGCGGUUUCGCGUAGCGAAAGCGAAUGCUUUGGGGUGGGGUGACUGCGUACCUUUUGUAUAAUGGGUCAGCGACUUAUAUUCUGUAGCAAGGUUAAC
rnacentral:rRNA from 1 species